CAUUUCUUACUGUUAGUGAUGGAUACAGCCCUUGACGCUUAGCUUCUUUCGUCAAGCAUAUUUUAAGCGGGAAAACCGCUAAAGGAGAAAAAAUG
rnacentral:ncRNA from 1 species